GGUCUCGAAAAUCUUCAACCCUCUUCUUCUCCGCUUCUCUCUCUCUCUCUCUCUCUCUCUCUCUCUUCCCCGUUUUUUGUGUUGAAUUGGAAUUGCAGACAAGAAAUGGUGGAGUUUGGGGAUGAGUUGAUCAUAGAAAGCUACAAAGUUCCAUGGCUGAUAUGGAUCCAACUACUUAUUACGUUUCUGCUCAUCAUUCUCCUCUUUUCUGGGUUCAGUGUCUUUACCUCAGACCCCUCAUCCAGCUCCUCCGCCGCUUCGCCAUCAACUGGCGCCGCCGCUGCCUCACUAACCCAUCUCAACAAACCCAGUUCUUCCAACAGAAGAACCAAGCUGGAGGACCAGGGGGGUAGGAGGGAUGAAGAAACUAGUGGAGUGUUGAUCCAAGAAGACGGCCAAAACGGAGACGAAUCCUCUUCGAAGGAUUCUAUGAUUUUCAGAAUUUUCCGACAUCCAAACCAUCCUUGCAAUUAUUUUGGGCUAGCCAAACAAGCGCUUCUCAAGUGUUUAGGCUUGGAUUCCACCUCCGAGCACUCCAGCAGACAUCAACACGACAAACAAGAAUAAUGCACAGACUGUAGUGACACUCCUGGGCCGAUGAUUAGAUGAGGAGAGUGAAAGUCAGGAGUCGCCGACUGCUGAAUUAGGUCUUAAAAUCUUGUGUAAAUAAUGACCCUAUGAUGUGUGUAGUAACAGCAAGUUAGUAGAUUGAUGUCAAAUGUAACUAAAUAUCCACUAAUUGUCAUGGGCUCCAAUUCUUUGAUAGUUGAGCAGCUUAUGCUUUUUUGCACUUGUAGAUAACUAUAUGACUCUUGUUCUCUUCU